rnacentral:rRNA from 1 species
AAGCUGGAAUCGCUAGUAAUCGCAGAUCAGAAUGCUGCGGUGAAUACGUUCCCGGGUCUUGUACACACCGCCCGUCACACCAUGGGAGUUGGAAAUGCCCGAAGUCAGUGACCGAACCGAAAGGAAGGAGCUGCCGAAGGUGGAGCCGAUGACUGGGGUGAAGUCGUAACAAGGUAUC